CGGGGGAGCAAGCGUUGUUCGGAAUUACUGGACGUAAAGGGCUCGUAGGCGGCCAACUCAGUCGGACGUGAAAUCCCUCGGCUUAACCAGGGAACAACGUCCGAUACCGGAUGGCUUGAAUCCGAGAGAGGGAUGCGGAAUUCCAAGUGUAGCGGUGAAAUGCGUAGAUAUCUAAAAGAACACCAAUAACGAAGGCGACAUCCUGGAUUAGUAUUGACGCUGAGGAGCGAAAGCUAGGGGAGCAAACAAGAUUAGACACCCCGGUAGUCCUAGCCCUAAACGAUGAAUGCUGGGUGUGACGGGUAUCGAUCCCUGCCGUGCCGAAGCUAACGCAUUAAGCAUUCCGCCUGGGGAGUACGGUCGCAGGGCUG
rnacentral:rRNA from 1 species